rnacentral:rRNA from 1 species
GCCUACGGGGGGCAGCAGCCGCGGUAAUACGGAGGAUGCGAGCGUUAUCCGGAUUUAUUGGGCGUAAAGGGAACGCAGGCGGUCUUUUAAGUCUGAUGUGAAAGCCUUCGGCUUAACCGGAGUAGUGCAUUGGAAACUGGGAGACUUGAGUGCAGAAGAGGAGAGUGGAACUCCAUGUGUAGCGGUGAAAUGCGUAGAUAUAUGGAAGAACACCAGUGGCGAAAGCGGCUCUCUGGUCUGUAACUGACGCUGAGGUUCGAAAGCGUGGGUAGCAAACAGGAUUAGAAACCCGGGUAGUCCGAGAU